rnacentral:rRNA from 1 species
GGAAGGAUCAUUAUCGUAACUUAGAGGUGCCAAAGGCUGUCGCUGAUUGUUUUGCAGUCGUGCACGUCUUUGUGCACUUGCACGUCCCAUCUCACCACUCUGUGAAUCACCGCGUGGGCCUCCUUUUCGUUCUUUUGGCUCGUCCUGGAAAAGGGGGGGGCUCACGUUUAUUUAUAUAGACAACUGUCUUGAUGCAUGUAUAAAGAAUGUCUUUUACUUUUUUGCAAUCACACGCAAUCAAUACAACUUUCAACAACGGAUCUCUUGGCUCUCGCAUCGAUGAAGAACGCAGCGAAAUGCGAUACGUAAUGUGAAUUGCAGAAUUCAGUGAAUCAUCGAAUCUUUGAACGCACCUUGCGCCCUUUGGUAUUCCGAGGGGCACACCCGUUUGAGUGUCGUGAACAUUCUCAAACCUUCUUUGUUUUUUUAUAAGCAUGGAAGGCUUGGACUUGGGGGCUUUUUUGCCGGCAUUCUUUGAAGCCGGCUCCUCCUAAAUGGAUUAGUGGGAUCUGCUUUAUGGACCCUCGACGUGAUAAGAGUUUUCUACGUCUUGGUUUUCAUAUGGUCACAUUGGAUUCUGCUUCUAACUGUCUUAUGAAAGACAACAUCACCAACCUUGACCUCAAAUCGGGUGAGACUACCCGCUGAACUUAAGCAUAUCAAUAAGCGGAGGAAAAGAAACUAACAAGGAUUCCCCUAGUAACUGCGAGUGAAGCGGGAAAAGCUCAAAUUUAAAAUCUGUUGGCCUUUGGUCAUCCGAGUUGUAAUUUAGAGAAGCGUCUUCCGCGCUGGACCGUGCAUAAGUCUCCUGGAAUGGAGCGUCAUAGAGGGUGAGAAUCCCGUCUUUGGCACGGAUGCCCAGGGCUUCUGUGAUGCGCUCUCGAAGAGUCGAGUUGUUUGGGAAUGCAGCUCAAAAUGGGUGGUGAACUCCAUCUAAAGCUAAAUAUUGGCGAGAGACCGAUAGCGAACAAGUACCGUGAGGGAAAGAUGAAAAGCACUUUGGAAAGAGAGUGAAACAGUACGUGAAAUUGUUGAAAGGGAAACGCUUGAAGUCAGUCGCGUCGAUCGAGACUCAGCCUUGCUAUGGCUUGGUGUACUUCUCGGCCGACGGGUCAGCAUCAAUUUCGAUCUUUGGAUAAUGGCAAGGGAAAGGUGGCACCUUUAUAGGUGUGUUAUAGUCCUUUGUCGAAUGCGAGGGUUGGGAUUGAGGAACUCAGCACGCGCCUUAGGGUGUCGGGGCCUCGGCUCACGUUACGUGCUUAGGAUGCUGGCAUAAUGGCUUUAAACGACCCGUCUUGAAACACGGACCAAGGAGUCUAACAUACCCGCGAGUGUUCGGGUGGAAAACCCGUGCGCGUAAUGAAAGUAAAAGUUGGGACCUCUGUCAUGGAGGGCACCGACGCCCGGACCAGACCUUCUGUGACGGCUCUGCGGUAGAGCGUGUAUGUUGGGACCCGAAAGAUGGUGAACUAUGCCUGAAUAGGGUGAAGCCAGAGGAAACUCUGGUGGAGGCUCGUAGCGAU